rnacentral:rRNA from 1 species
GACGAACGCUGGCGGCGUGCUUAACACAUGCAAGUCGAACGAAGUGGCGAACGGGUGAGUAACGCGUAAUCAACCUGCCCUUCAGAGGGGGAGAACAGUUGGAAACGACUGCUAAUAUCGCAUACUGAAGGUGGGGAUUGCGGCUGAUUAGCUAGGUGGAGGGGUAACGGCCCACCAAGGCGAUGAGCAGUAGCCGAUCGGAGAGGAUGAACGGCCACAUUGGGACUGAGACACGGCCCAGACUCCUACGGGAGGCAGCAGUAGGGAAUAUUGCGCAAUGGGGGCAACCCUGACGCAGCCAUGCCGCGUGAAUGAAGAAGGCCUUCGGGUUGUAAAGUUCUUUCGGUAGCGAGGCGUUAACUACAGAAGAAGCACCGGCUAACUCCGUGCCAGCAGACGCGGUAAUUC